rnacentral:rRNA from 1 species
UACGUAGGGUGCAAGCGUUGUCCGGAAUUAUUGGGCGUAAAGAGCGUGUAGGCGGCCCGACAAGUCCGCUGUGAAAGUCCAGGGCUCAACCCUGGAAUGCCGGUGGAUACUGUCGGGCUAGAGUCCGGAAGGGGCGAGUGGAAUUCCUGGUGUAGCGGUGAAAUGCGCAGAUAUCAGGAGGAACACCGGUGGCGAAGGCGGGACUCUGGGCCGAUACUGACGCUGAGGAGCGAAAGCGUGGGGAGCAAACAGG